rnacentral:rRNA from 1 species
GAAGGAGUACAAAAGUUAGGUAGUAGUGGUAGGCUUGAAACUUAAAAAAUUUGGCGGUGUCUUAAUCUAAUUAGAGGAAUCUGUUUUAUAAUCGACAUUACUCGUUAUAUCUCACUUAAAAUUAUGGUUUGUAUAUCGUUGUAGUAAUAAUAUUUAUUAAUUAUUAUUAGAUGGAAUUUUAUUUUGAACAUCAGAUCAAGGUUCAGCUUGUGUUUAAGUAAUAAAUGGAUUACAAUAUAAAUAUAUAUUACGGAUUUUGUCUUGAAAAGAUAAAUGAAGGUGGAUUUAAAAGUAUUUUUAUAAUAAUGUGUUGGAUUGAAGUAGCUCUAAGACAUGC